ACGCUGGCGGCAGCCUAACACAUGCAAGUCGAGCGCUCGUAGCAAUACGGGAGCGGCAGACGGGAGAGUAACACGUGGGAACGUACCUUUCGGUUCGGAAUAACCCAGGGAAACUUGGGCUAAUACCGGAUACGUCCGUAAGGAGAAAGAUUUAUCGCCGAAAGAUCGGCCCGCGUCCGAUUAGCUUGUUGGUGAGGUAACGGCUCACCAAGGCGACGAUCGGUAGCUGGUCUGAGAGGAUGAUCAGCCUCACUGGGACUGAGACACGGCCCAGACUCCUACGGGAGGCAGCAGUGGGGAAUAUUGGACAAUGGGCGCAAGCCUGAUCCAGCCAUGCCGCGUGGGUGAUGACGGCCUUAGGGUUGUAAAGCCCUUUCGGCGGGGAAGAUAAUGACGGUUACCGCAGAAGAAGCCCCGGCAAACUUCGUGCCAGCAGCCGCGGUAAUACGAAGGGGGCUAGCGUUGCUCGGAAUCACUG
rnacentral:rRNA from 1 species